AUUCUAUCCAUGUGGGGAAGGAUGAGAAGCUUCGACUAAGGUUCGAUUCGAGCGCAGCGAGAAAGCGUUGCCGCAGGCAACGACCCGAAGGGCGAAGCGCGCAGCGAGAAAGCGUUGCCGCAGGCAACGACCCGAAGGGCGAAGCGCGCAGCGCUGAGUAAUCCUUCCCCUACCACCA
rnacentral:sRNA from 1 species